rnacentral:rRNA from 1 species
UACGUAGGUGGCAAGCGUUAUCCGGAAUUACUGGGCGUAAAGCGUGCGCAGGCGGUUCGUUAUGUCCGAUGUGAAAGCCCCGAGCUUAACUUGGGAAUGGCAUUGGAAACUGGCGGGCUGGAGUGCGGCAGAGGGGGGUGGAAUUCCACGUGUAGCAGUGAAAUGCGUAGAGAUGUGGAGGAACACCGAUGGCGAAGGCAGCCCCCUGGGCCGACACUGACGCUCAGGCACGAAAGCGUGGGGAGCAAACAGG